AUUGAACGCUGGCGGCAGGCCUAACACAUGCAAGUCGAGCGGAUGAGAAGAGCUUGCUCUUCGAUUCAGCGGCGGACGGGUGAGUAGUAGUUAGCAACUUGCCCUCCAGACGGGAAUAGCCACCGUAAUGGUGAUUAAUGCCCGAUAUGAGGAAACUUAAAAGGUGCGUUUGUACCACUGGAGGAUAGGGCUAACCCCUAUUAGCUUGUUGGUAGGGUAAUAGCCUACCAAGGCGAUGAUAGGUAGCCGGCCUGAGAGGGUGAUCGGCCACACUGGGACUGAGAUACGGCCCAG
rnacentral:rRNA from 1 species